rnacentral:rRNA from 1 species
ACAGCAGUAGCCGCGGGAAUACGAACCGUGCGAACGUUAUUCGGAAUUACUGGGCUUAAAGCGCGUGUAGGCGGGCCGCCACGUCGGUUGCUGAAAUCCCCCGGCUCAACCGGGGAAGUGGCAUCGAUACGAGCGGCCUUGAGGGGGGUAGGGGGAUCUGGAACUUCCGGUGGAGCGGUGAAAUGCGUUGAGAUCGGAAGGAACGCCCGUGGCGAAAGCGAGGUCCUGGACCCUUUCUGACGCUGAGACGCGAAAGCCAGGGGAGCGAACGGGAUUAGAUACCCGGGUAGUCCCUGUCUCUUAUA